UACGAAGGGGGCUAGCGUUGUUCGGAUUUACUGGGCGUAAAGCGCACGUAGGCGGAUCGUUAAGUCGGGGGUGAAAUCCUGGAGCUCAACUCCAGAACUGCCUUCGAUACUGGCGAUCUUGAGUCCGGAAGAGGUGAGUGGAAUUCCUGGUGUAGCGGUGAAAUGCGUAGAUAUCAGGAGGAACACCGGUGGCGAAGGCGGCUCUCUGGACGGUGACUGACGCUGAGACGCGAAAGCGUGGGGAGCAAACAGG
rnacentral:rRNA from 1 species